CGCCAGACUCCUACGGGAGGCAGCAGUGGGGGAUAUUGCACAAUGGGGGAAACCCUGAUGCAGCGACGCCGCGUGUGGGAAGACGGUCCUCUGGAUUGUAAACCACUGUCCCCAGGGACGAAGAUGACGGUACCUGGGGAGGAAGCUCCGGCUAACUACGUGCCAGCAGCCGCGGUAAUACGUAGGGAGCAAGCGUUGUCCGGAAUUACUGGGUGUAAAGGGAGCGUAGGCGGGAUGGCAAGUUGGGUGUUAAAUCUACCGGCUCAACUGGUAGUCGCACUCAAAACUGCUAUUCUUGAGUGAAGUAGAGGCAGGCGGAAUUCCUAGUGUAGCGGUGAAAUGCGUAGAUAUCAGGAGGAACACCGGUGGCGAAGGCGGCCUGCUGGACUGCGACUGACGUUGAGGCCCGAAAGCGUGGGGAGCAAACAGGAUUAGAUACCCCUGUA
rnacentral:rRNA from 1 species